AUGAAUACCUUUUUAUUUUCAUACUGUAAACAGUGUAAAGCAUUCCCAUAUACUCUUCUUUCAGGCGACCAUGGUACAAUUAUGAAAAUCAGAAAAUUUACACUGAUAUGUGACUUUGGACUAAUUUACAGACCUUAUUUAAAUUAUGGUAAAUGUCCUAUCAGUGCCUUGUUCUGUUCCAGGAUUCAAUCUGAGAUCCCAUUUUGAUUUAGUUACCUUGUCUUCUCCCAUGUUUAGUCUUUUUAUCUUUCUUCUGAGGAAUACUGACCAGUUAUAGUCUAUAUAUAAAAUUACAGAAUGUCUUUCAAGUUGCAUUUGUUGGUUGCUUCCCUCAUGGUCAAAUUUAGACAAUGAAUUUUUGGCAAAAAGAUCACAAAAGAUGUUGGAUUCUUGUCAAUGUGACAUACUAGCAGUCAUAUGAUAUCAGUAUAUCUCAAAGUAAAGUAAUAUUUACUUUGAUCACUUGGUUACGGUGGUGUUUGCCAGGUUUCUCUUCUGUAAAAUUAAUAUUUUUCCCCUUUAAUUAGUAAGUUUCUUGUAGGGAGAUACUUUGAGACUGUAGAAAAAUGCUGUUGUGGGUAAAAUUGUAAUAUUUCCAGAAUAUCUCACCUGGCUUUAGUGCUUUUGCAUAUCCACAGGGGUGGAAAGAAGUUCAUCUCCGUAUCAGUGGGUAAUUACCUGGGCAACCGAGGGUGUGUCUGAACCUGAGAGGUUAGGGGGAGGUCCUUGCUUGCUUGCUUCUGCUGGAGCAGGAAAGAGAAACAGCCCUGGACUGCAGUUUGUAAGCAAUAAAUGGAUUUUAAACUAUUUCUCCCUUUGACUGAUUUCCGUUUUAGAGGUAUUUUGCCCCAGGAUUUCCUCUCCCCAGACUUACAACUGUUCUCAUAAUACUUUAACCCAUUAACUUUAACAUCCAUUGAUAAUUCUUAUCUGUAAAAAUCAUUACUGUGAUGUUUGCCCAGUGAUUUCUCUUUGCAUCAUUCCUUCUGUGUUUAUUAAUUUAAAUUCUACUGUAUUUAAGAAGAGCUGUCUCUCAGGCCUCAUGUGUUUAUUCAGUUAUUUACUUACAUAGAUACUUAUUUUAUCCUAUGAGUUUUAAUCCAUUAUUACUGUUACAUACUUUGUUGCUCAAAUUGCCCCAGAUUUGGCUGUUAAGACCUUUUUCAAACUGGCUCCUGUGUCUUUUUCAACAUGCUGUUAUUUGAGCACUUUCUGGCACCGUGAUGUUCUAGGCUCAUCUCGUACUUGCCCUCCUCCAGCCCUGGAAUCAGCAGUUUCUCCCACAAGCCCUGUUUCUGCUUUGGUGAAUGAAUUUAUAUAACGGGCUCUGGACACUUCGUGUGCUCAUUGCUUUUGGGAUGUGUGGGUAAAAUUGUAACAGUUCCAGAAUAUUUUACCUGGCUUUAGUACAUCUGCAUAUCAGUAGGCAUUCAGAGGUGGAAAGAACUAUGGCUUUAGUGCAUCUGCAUCAUUCCUCAGGAGUGAGAGAAGUUCAUCUCCAUAUCAAUGGGUAAUUACCUGGGCAACUGAGGGCUUAUCUGUACCUGAGAGGUGACAGGGAGAGCCAGUUUUUGGCUUCUGCUGAAGCAGGAAAGAGAGAAGCAGCCCCAGACUGCAGUUUAUGAGCAAUAAAUGGGUUUUAAACUUUAUUUCUCCCUUUGACUGAUUUUGGUUUUUAGAGGUAUUUUGCCCUGGGAUUUCCUCUCCCUGGACUUACACCUGGCGCAGUUGGCAGGAUUCCUCUGAACCUGAAAUCUGUUAUAAUGGGUGUGACCUUUGGGAGGGCCACCCAUAGAAAUGAUGGGAAGGAGUGGCACUUGAGCUGAGGGACAUGUGUCUAUACUCGUGUGGUCGUGGAGGUGCCACCACUGCUGCUGGCCGCACCGACCACAGCCCUUGGCCCGAGCCUAAGGCUACUGAUUCUGCCACUGCUGCUGCUCCUGCUGCCGGCCGGAGCCUGGUCACAACUAUGGAAAGGAGCAGAGGUCACCUUGAUAGAGAAGCAACUGGCUGCUGUGUACCACGCCUUGCUGGCUACAGAGCCCAUUGAUGGAACAGCUCUGACCAAGGGAAUACUGAAGCAGACUCAUUGACCCAGGUGCGAUACCUAGAAGGAAAGCCUGCCUCUGAUGUGGCCCAGUGGCUAUAUCAGCAUUUGUUGCAUGCAGGGCAAAAGACAAUGUGGGCUGUAGCCCAUUGGUGGGCCUUGCCAUUGACCUUUGAAGAAGGCAGCUGAGCCCAGAAGGAGUUCCCUGUCCAUUGUGCAGAUCAGCAAACCACCAAGAGGGGCCUAGAGUGUCUCUUUGCAGCCUAUGGCCAGUCGCCAGUGAUUGAGAGCAAUCAAGGCAACCACUUUAUUGAACAUCCAUUGUAAGGAUGGGUGCAGCAAUUAGGAGUAAAAUGGACGUGGCCCUGGACAUUUCAACACAUGGACCGGCAAUGGCUGGCUCUUCUGGCACUUUGGGGAAAAGACCUGGAAGCUGGCUUCCUGUGUAUUCCUGGAAUAACAGAACUGGCCCCCCACAAUCAUGGUUAUUUGCUUCUACAGUCCUUGUGUCCUGGAUGCACCCCCUGGCUGCAGCUGCCGCGAUGGCUGGAAUGGACGAGCUUUGGACUUAAUCUGCAUGGGACUUUGAACCUAGCUGAAUCCUCUGGUUUGAGAGUUAUGAUUGUGUUGCUGUUGUCAAGAAAAAAUGCUUAAAGAGAGGCUUGACUUUAUCUAAUGUUUGGUAAAAGUUUUGUGAGCAAUCUAGCAUGGUUGUUAGGAAUGAGUAAACAAGUGUAGGAACAUAUUUUGUUCUUAGAGGUUGUGCUGUAAAGCACAUUUACUCAAUCUGCAUAGGCUGAAUCUUCUGGCGUGAGGAUUAUCAAGAUUUUAUUGCUGUUGCUACUAUAUGUUAUUAGAUAGGUCGGAAGAGGGGGAACGAGUAAAUUGCAAGGCAAGAUUUCUGGAGGGGUGGCCUGUGGGUAAAACUGUAACAUUUCCAGACUAUCUCGCCUGGCUUUAGUACAUCUGCAUAUCAAUAGGCAUUCAGUGGUGGAAAGAAGUAUGGCUUUAGUGCAUCUGCAUCAUUCCUCAGGGGUGGAGAGAAGUUCAUCUCCAUAUCAAUGGGUAAUUACCUGGGCAACGGAGGGCUUAUCUAUCCCUGAGAGGUGAGGGGGAGGGCUGGUUUUUGGCUUCUGCUGAAGCAGGAAAGAGAGAAAUAGCCCCAGACUGCAGUUUUUGAGCAUUAAAUGGGUUUUAAACUUUA